rnacentral:tRNA from 4 species
GCCUGGGUGGUGGAAUUGGCAGACACAAGGGACUUAAAAUCCCUCGGGACUAAUUAUCCCGUGCCGGUUCGACUCCGGCCCCAGGCA